rnacentral:rRNA from 1 species
UACGUAGGGUGCAAGCGUUGUCCGGAAUUAUUGGGCGUAAAGAGCUCGUAGGCGGUUUGUCGCGUCUGCUGUGAAAACCCAGGGCUUAACCCUGGGCCUGCAGUGGGUACGGGCAAACUAGAGUGCGGUAGGGGAGAUCGGAAUUCCGGGUGUAGCGGUGGAAUGCGUAGAGAUCCGGAAGAACACCGGUGGCGAAGGCGGCCUGCUGGGCUAUGGCUGACACUGAGGCGCGACAGCGUGGGGAGCAAACAGG